CUACACAUCAGCAAAGACAACGAGCUGUCACGUGACUGCUGACGCCAACACGACAAUGACAACACCAGUGUCAUCACUGUCUGUGUACAAGACCCUGACACUGCCACGCGCUCGCGCCUCCUGAUGUAGUAACCACUGCCUGACAGCCUCUACCUUUCUUCAAAUCUCAUCGAUAAAUGUCAAGACACACCUGUGUGUCUCCUCUCAGCCUUGUGUCAGUUUGUGAGGAUAGGAACUGCAGAUGUUCCUUCAGAGUUGAAGAUAAUUUACUUCCUAAUCCAAAACUCCUAAUGAGGAAAAGCGGUGGGCAGGGUUCGAACCCAGGACUAUCAAGACCACCAAACUACAGUCCAGAGCACACACCAAACCGGGCAGUCAAAAUGCCGCUUUUGAUAGGCCUACGUAUUGAACGUAGCUAUUGAGCAGUCUAUAGAUCAUGGACAAACAAAUUGACACCUAAAAUCGAAUUAAAUUCAAGAAUAAAUUCAACACUUUUGAAUAUUAUUAUGUUUAUUCAUUUAUCUUUUUACCAGAAAAAAAAACAGCAUUUAAAAAGAAAAUAAACAGAAUAUCCGCUAAUAGUUACAUUGUGGUCCCAGGUCUAGUCCAGGUCAAAUGUCUUCUGUCGCACAGUAAACAAAACAAUAACCAUUCUCUCUCUCUUACAUGUACACAUCUCUUUCUUCUCAAGAUAAUUAGAUACCAUUUUGAACUAGAAUUUCCCGGUUUACCUACCAGACCAGAUCCUUAUUGAGACAUUAUACACCAUAUUUGAGAUAAUAGAAUGUAAAGCUAGAGCAACAUACAUUUAUAAAAA